GACGAACGCUGGCGGCGUGCCUAAUACAUGCAAGUCGAACGCACAGUUUAUACCGUAGCUUGCUACACCAUACACUGUGAGUUGCGAACGGGUGAGUAACGCGUAGGUAACCUUCCUGGUAGCGGGGGAUAACUAUUGGAAACGAUAGCUAAUACCGCAUAAUAUUAAUUAUUGCAUGAUAAUUUAUUGAAAGAUGCAAUUGCAUCACUACCAGAUGGACCUGCGUUGUAUUAGCUAGUAGGUGAGGUAACGGCUCACCUAGGCGAGGAUACAUAGCCGAAGUGAGAGGGUGAUCGGCCACACUGGGACUGAGACACGGACCAGACUACUACGGGAGGAAGCAGUAGGGAAUAGUCGGCAAUGGACGAAAGUCUGACCGAGCAACGCCGCGUGAGUGAAGAAGGUUUUCGGAUCGUAAAGCUCUGUUGUAAGAGAAGAAAGGGUGUGAGAGUGGAAAGUUCACACUGGGACGGUAUCGUACAAGAAAGGGACGGCUAACUACGU
rnacentral:rRNA from 1 species